AUCGCUUCUCGGCCUUUUGGCUAAGAUCAAGUGUAGCAUCUGUUCUUAUCAGUUUAAUAUCUGAUACGUCCCCUACCCGGGGACCAUAUAUUAAAUAGAUUUUUGGAACAGGGAGAUGGAAUAGGGGCUUGCUCCGUCCACUCCACACAUCGACCUGGUAUUGCAGUAUCUCCAGGAACGGUGCACUCCCU
rnacentral:snRNA from 1 species